rnacentral:rRNA from 1 species
GACGAACGCUGGCGGCGUGCCUAAUACAUGCAAGUAGGACGCAGUUGCGAACGGGUGAGUAACGCGUAGGUAACUACCUAUUAGAGGGGGAUAACUAUUGGAAACGAUAGCUAAUACCGCAUACUAGUAGAUGGACCUGCGUUGUCUUAGCUAGUAGGUAGGGUAAUGGCCUACCUAGGCAACGAUACAUAGCCGACCUUGUGGGGUGAUCGGCAACACGGGGACGGGGACCAGGCCCAGACGCCGACGGGAGGCAGCAGGAGGGAAUCGUCGGCAAUGGGGGGAACCCUGACCGAGCAACGCCGCGGGAGUGAAGAGGGUUUUCGGAUCGUAAAGCUCUGUUGUUAAGGAAGCGGUACUUAACCAGAAAGGGACGGCUAACUACGUGCCAGCAGCCGCGGUAAUAC